rnacentral:misc_RNA from 1 species
CAACCCUCGAGCCCCGCUCGGCGCUGGGGGACGGCCGCGCGCCGCCCCCGAAAUGCAGUGGCGGCCCCGCCGCGUCCUCCCCUGCGCAGUAGCUCCCAGAGAACCUCGCACCGGCGGCGCGGCGGCGGUCACGCCGUGAAACGACACCUCAG